UGCAGUCGAACGGACUUAACCAUUAGUUUACUAUUGGAGCGGUUAGUGGCGGACUGGUGAGUAACACGUAAGCAACCUGCCUAUCAGAGGGGAACAACAGUUAGAAAUGACUGCUAAUACCGCAUAUGCCUAAGUACCACAUGGUACAAUAGGGAAAGGAGCAAUCCGCUGAUAGAUGGGCUUGCGUCUGAUUAGCUAGUUGGUGGGGUAAAGGCCUACCAAGGCGACGAUCAGUAGCCGGACUGAGAGGUUGAACGGCCACAUUGGGACUGAGAUACGGCCCAGACUCCUACGGGAGGCAGCAGUCGGGAAUAUUGCGCAAUGGAGGAAACUCUGACGCAGUGACGCCGCGUGCAGGAAGAAGGUUUUCGGAUUGUAAACUGCUUUAGACAGGGAAGAAACAAGACAGUACCUGUAGAAUAAGCUCCGGCUAACUACGUGCCAGCAGCCGCGGUAAUACGUAGGGAGCGAGCGUUAUCCGGAUUUAUUGGGUGUAAAGGGUGCGUAGACGGGAAGAUAAGUUAGUUGUGAAAUCCCUCGGCUUAACUGAGGAACUGCAACUAAAACUGUUUUUCUUGAGUACUGGAGAGGAAAGUGGAAUUCCUAGUGUAGCGGUGAAAUGCGUAGAUAUUAGGAGGAACACCGGUGGCGAAGGCGACUUUCUGGACAGAAACUGACGUUGAGGCACGAAAGUGUGGGGAGCAAACAGGAUUAGAUACCCUGGUAGUCCACACCGUAAACGAUGGAUACUAGGUGUAGGGGAUAAUAAAUUCUCUGUGCCGCCGCUAACGCAAUAAGUAUCCCACCUGGGGAGUACGGCCGCAAGGUUGAAACUCA
rnacentral:rRNA from 1 species